GACGAACCGAGCGAACGUUAUUCGGAAUCACUGGGCUUAAAGGGCGCGUAGGCGGGCCGUCAAGUCGAGGGUGAAAUCCCCCAGCUCAACUGGGGAAGUGCCUCCGAUACUGGCGGCCUCGAGGGGGAUAGGGGCAUGCGGAACUUCCGGUGGAGCGGUGAAAUGCGUAGAUAUCGGAAGGAACACCGGUGGCGAAAACGGCGUGCUGGAUCCCUUCUGACGCUGAGGCGCGAAAGCCAGGGGAGCGAACGGG
rnacentral:rRNA from 1 species